UACGUAGGGGGCAAGCGUUGUCCGGAAUCAUUGGGCGUAAAGCGCGUGUAGGCGGCUCGAUAAGUCUGCUGUGAAAGUCCAGGCUCAACCCUGGGAUGCCGGUGGAUACUGUCGAGCUCGAGUCCGGAAGAGGCGAGUGGAAUUCCUGGUGUAGCGGUGAAAUGCGCAGAUAUCAGGAAGAACACCAAUGGCGAAGGCAGCUCUCUGGGACGGUACUGACGCUGAGACGCGAAAGCGUGGGGAGCGAACAGG
rnacentral:rRNA from 1 species